rnacentral:rRNA from 1 species
UUUGUUUAUAUAUUGAUAAUGACAGUAUAUAUAUCGUGUCUUGACUAAUUGCGUGCCAGCAGUCGCGGUAAUACGUAAGAGACUAGUGUUAUUCAUCUUAAUUAGGUUUAAAGGGUACCUAGACGGUCAAUAUAGCUUCUAUAAUGUUAGUACUUGACUAGAGUUUUAUAUAAGAGGGCAGUACUUGAGGAGGAGAGAUGAAAUUCUAUGAUACCAAAGGGACUCGGUAAAGGCGAAGGCAGCCCUCUAUGUAGAAACUGACGUUAAAGGACGAAGGCACAGAGCACAAACAGGAUUAGAUACCCAAGUAGUCUUUGCAGUAAAUGAUGAAUGCCAUAGGUUAGAUUAAGAUUUAGUAUUUUAAUUUU